rnacentral:rRNA from 1 species
GGAGUUUGGACCGUGUCUCAGUUCCAAUGUGGGGGACCUUCCUCUCAGAACCCCUACUGAUCGUCGACUAGGUGGGCCGUUACCCCGCCUACUAUCUAAUCAGACGCAUCCUCAUCCAUCGCCGAUAAAUCUUUACUCACAAAAAGAUGUCUUCAUGUGAGACCAUCAGGUAUUAAUCUUUCUUUCGAAAGGCUAUCCCUGAGCCAUGGGUAGAUUGGAUACGUGUUACGCACCCGUGCGCCGGUCGCCAGCAUCAAAAGCAAGCUUUCGAUCUGCUGCCCCUCGACUUGCAUGUGUUAAGCCUGUAGCUAGCGUUCAUCCUGAGCCAUGAUCAAAACUCU